UUUCCGUAGGUGAACCUGCGGAAGGAUCAUUCAUAAUAAGUGUUUUAUGGCACUUUUUUAAAUCCAUAUCCACCUUGUGUGCAAUGUCAGGGCUGAUUUUUCUCUCGAGAGGAUCAACCCCAAACAUCAACUAUAUCUCAACUCUUUGUCUGAAAAAUAUUAUGAAUAAAACAAUUCAAAAUACAACUUUCAACAACGGAUCUCUUGGCUCUC
rnacentral:misc_RNA from 1 species